GAUGAACGCUGGCGGCGUGCCUAAUACAUGCAAGUCGUACGGAAAGGCCCUUCGGGGUACUCGAGUGGCGGACGGCUGAGUAACGCGUGGGAACGUGCCCCAAAGUGAGGGAUAACGCACCGAAAGGUGUGCUAAUACCGCAUGUGGUCUUCGGAUUAAAGCUUCGGCGCUUUGGGAGCGGCCCGCGUACGAUUAGAUAGUUGGUGAGGUAAUGGCUCACCAAGUCGACGAUCGUUAGCGGGUCUGAGAGGAUGAUCAGCCAGACUGGGACUGCGACACGGCCCAGACUCCUACGGGAGGCAGCAGUAAGGAAUCUUCCACAAUGGGGGCAACCCUGAUGGAGCAACGCCGCGUGCAGGAUGAAGGUUUUCGGAUCGUAAACUGCUUUUAUAAGUGAAGAAUAUGACGGUAACUUAUGAAUAAGGAUCGGCUAACUACGUGCCAGCAGCCGCCGCCG
rnacentral:rRNA from 1 species